GUCGAGCGGACAGAUGGGAGCUUGCUCCCUGAUGUUAGCGGCGGACGGGGUGAGUAACACGUGGGUAACCUGCCUGUAAGACUGGGAUAACUCCGGGAAACCGGGGCUAAUACCGGAUGCUUGAUUGAACCGCAUGGUUCAAUUAUAAAAGGUGGCUUUUAGCUACCACUUACAGAUGGACCCGCGGCGCAUUAGCUAGUUGGUGAGGUAACGGCUCACCAAGGCGACGAUGCGUAGCCGACCUGAGAGGGUGAUCGGCCACACUGGGACUGAGACACGGCCCAGACUCCUACGGGAGGCAGCAGUAGGGAAUCUUCCGCAAUGGACGAAAGUCUGACGGAGCAACGCCGCGUGAGUGAUGAAGGUUUUCGGAUCGUAAAACUCUGUUGUUAGGGAAGAACAAGUACCGUUCGAAUAGGGCGGUACCUUGACGGUACCUAACCAGAAAGCCACGGCUAACUACGUGCCAGCAGCCGCGGUAAUACGUAGGUGGCAAGCGUUGUCCGGAAUUAUUGGGCGUAAAGCGCGCGCAGGCGGUUUCUUAAGUCUGAUGUGAAAGCCCCCGGCUCAACCGGGGAGGGUCAUUGGAAACUGGGGAACUUGAGUGCAGAAGAGGAGAGUGGAAUUCCACGUGUAGCGGUGAAAUGCGUAGAGAUGUGGAGGAACACCAGUGGCGAAGGCGACUCUCUGGUCUGUAACUGACGCUGAGGCGCGAAAGCGUGGGGAGCGAACAGGAUUAGAUACC
rnacentral:rRNA from 1 species